rnacentral:lncRNA from 1 species
AACAGCAGCCUCAUGGCUACAGCCAGGCUCCCUUCCUGAGAACUCAAUGCACUCCAGUCUUUCUGCCUCCUGGCCGUGACUCAACAUCUAGAGAGGUUUCCCCUCCUGUUUCAUACUGUUUCUAGCUCAAACCGUAUUGGACAAAGCAAAGGAAUCGCCUUCACCACAGACUCAACAGACCUCUGUCUGUGCCACACCCUCCUGAAGCAUGUGACACACACCCCACCCAGCACCUUAUCCCAGAGAGGGGAGGGAAGAAGUGCUCCUCAUUGGGCUGCUGAGAGGGGCAGGGAGAAGGUAAGGAAUGUCCUCAGCCACAUGGAGAGGGGGAAUGGUGAUACUGCCUCUUGCGUGACAGAGAGAGAGAGAGAGAGAGAGAGAGAGAGAGAGAGAGAGAGAGAA